rnacentral:rRNA from 1 species
GGAGCAACGCCGCGUGAGUGAUGAAGGUUUUCGGAUCGUAAAGCUCUGUUGUUAGGGAAGAACAAGUACCGUUCGAAUAGGGCGGUACCUUGACGGUACCUAACCAGAAAGCCACGGCUAACUACGUGCCAGCAGCCGCGGUAAUACGUAGGUGGCAAGCGUUGUCCGGAAUUAUUGGGCGUAAAGGGCUCGCAGGCGGUUUCUUAAGUCUGAUGUGAAAGCCCCCGGCUCAACCGGGGAGGGUCAUUGGAAACUGGGGAACUUGAGUGCAGAAGAGGAGAGUGGAAUUCCACGUGUAGCGGUGAAAUGCGUAGAGAUGUGGAGGAACACCAGUGGCGAAGGCGACUCUCUGGUCUGUAACUGACGCUGAGGAGCGAAAGCGUGGGGAGCGAACAGGAUUAGAUACCCUGGUAGUCCACGCCGUAAACGAUGAGUGCUAAGUGUUAGGGGGUUUCCGCCCCUUAGUGCUGCAGCUAACGCAUUAAGCACUCCGCCUGGGGAGUACGGUCGCAAGACUGAAACUCAAAGGAAUUGACGGGGGCCCGCACAAGCGGUGGAGCAUGUGGUUUAAUUCGAAGCAACGCGAAGAACCUUACCAGGUCUUGACAUCCUCUGACAAUCCUAGAGAUAGGACGUCCCCUUCGGGGGCAGAGUGACAGGUGGUGCAUGGUUGUCGUCAGCUCGUGUCGUGAGAUGUUGGGUUAAGUCCCGCAACGAGCGCAACCCUUGAUCUUAGUUGCCAGCAUUCAGUUGGGCACUCUAA